UUAAAAAGCUCGUAGUUGGAUUUCUGCUUGAGAGGGACGGCAGGCGUCAUUGACGUUUAGUCUGACUUCUCGUGCAUCCUGUCACGAACCACGUUGCUCUUAAUUGAGUGGCGUCGGGGAUUGGCUCGUUUACUUUGAGAAAAAUAGAGUGUUCAAAGCAGGCUUACGCAUCUGAAUAAGUUAGCAUGGAAUAAUGAUAAAGGACUUUGGUUCUAUUUGUUGGUGUUCGGAACUGAAGUAAUGACUGAUAGGGACAGUUGGGGGGCAUCAGUAUUCCGAAGCGAGAAGGUGAAAUUCUAGGACCUUCGGAAGACUAACCGCUGGCGAAAGCGUUUGCCAGGAUGUUCCCUUUGAUCAGAAC
rnacentral:rRNA from 1 species